rnacentral:pre_miRNA from 1 species
AAUGUACUCCCUCUGUUCCAAAUUACUUGUCGCAAGUAUGGAUGUAUCUAGAUGUAUUUUAGUUCUAGAUACAUCCAUUUCUGCGACGAGUAAUUUGGAACGGAGGGAGUAGCUA